GGAGAGAAAUGUGAUGUUUCUUUUGACAAAGGACUCAGAGCAGCAUUAUUUUGAGGGGUUACUGGUGUAUUUAUAUAGACCUUUCUGACAAAGCUAAUUUCCUUCUCCUUUAAUGUUCCUUAUAGGAUAUUUUGUGCAACAUGUAUAUACAACCUAGCACAAGAAGUGAUUUGCCGAUCUUCGUAGGAGGGGCAAACUCACUGGAAUUCACUAAAAAUCAUUAAAGGGGCACUAUCCCCUCAUGUGCAAUGUGAGUGCAAAGGAGCAGUAUUGUGAAAGAAGUACAAGUACUUGUAGGGAAUGGGAGUACAGCCAUCUCUUUAAUAUAGUCUUAAACAUAAAUAGAGUUGAAGACCUCCAUCUUGAGUGCAAUAUACAACUGAUACGUGUGCUGGAAAUCCAGGAGCGCAAAGAUACACAUGGCAGUGGCCACGCAAAGGAAUUACCAAAGCCUUACAGACAAGGGUGUGAAUGCAAUCAUUUACGACCACAACGCCACUUGUU